UCUCUGCUGGAGAGUUGUCUGUAAUAGAGAGUUGUCUGUGAUGGAGAUUUGUCUCUGUGGAAAGUUGUCUCUGUUGGAGAGUUUUAUGAUAGAGAGUUGUCUUUAGUAGAGAGUUGUCUCUAAUGGAGAGUUGUCUGUGAUGGAGAUUUGUCUCUGAUGGAAAGUUGUCUCUGAUGGAGAGUUAUCUCUGUUGGAAAGUUGUCUCUGAUAGAGAGUUGUCUGUGGUGGAAAGUUGUCUCUGAUGGAGAGUUGUUUCUGUUGGAGAGUUGUUUCUGUGGACUGUUGUCACUGAUGGAGAGUUGUCAUUAAUGGAGAGUUGUCUCAGAUUGAAAGUUAUCUCUGUUAAAAAGUUGUCACCGAUGGAGAGUUGUCUCUGAUAGACGGUUGUCUCUGAUAGAGAGUUAUCUCUGAUGGAAAGUUGUCUGUGGUGGGAAGUUGUCUCUUAUGGAGAGUUGUUUCUGUGGACUGUUGUCACUGAUGGAGAGUUGUCUCUGAUAGACGGUUGUCUCUGAUAGAGAGUUA
rnacentral:lncRNA from 1 species